UUACAGCCAUAUCACAUUGAAGCACCAGUUCUUGUACGAUAACCAAAGUUAAGCAAUGCUGAACAUGGUCAGUAAUUAGAUAGGUGACCGCUUGGGAAUAGCAGGUUCUGUA